UCUUCAAAACAUCCUUGGCAAAACAUUACAGGAAGAGGAAAUGAAAAAUAACAAAGAAAACCAACAGCGGGAGGUAGUACAGUAAAGGAAAAACUAAGCAUAGAGGAAAAACAAAUCAUGUUAAACAACUUACAUAAUCAAAUAUGGCUGGAAAUACAAAACAUAUCUCAAUAGUAACCCUAAAUGUUAAUGGCUUAAAUGCACCAAUCAAAAGACAUAGGCUAGUAGAAUGGAUUAAAAAAAAAGAUCCAACAAUAUGCUGCCUACAGGAGACUCAUCUGAUAGGAAAAGACAUACACAGACUGAAAGUGAAAGGUUGGGAAAAAUCAUAUCACGCAUACGGACCAUGGAAGCAGGCAGGGGUAUCCAUACUUGUAUCAAAUAAAAUAGACUUCAAGCCAAAGUUAAUCAAAAGGGAUAAACAAGGACACUACAUACUGCUCAAGGGAACCAUACACCAACAAGACUUGACGAUCAUUAAUGGUGCAGCUACGUUCAUCAAACAAACUCUUCUCAAGUUCAAGAGUCAAAUAGACCACAACACAAUAAUCAUGGGAGAUUUUAACACACCUCUCUCACCACUGGACAGAUCUUCUAAACAAAAGUUGAAUAAAGAAACGAUAGAGCUCAAUAAUACAAUUAAUAAUUUAGACUUAAUUGAUAUAUACAGAAUAUACCACCCAACAUCAAGCGGAUACACUUUCUUCUC
rnacentral:lncRNA from 1 species